rnacentral:pre_miRNA from 1 species
UACCCUAUUCUGACCCUUGACUUGUCCAAUCAGAGUGUCCGGGGUCGGUGUAGGCUAAA